rnacentral:rRNA from 1 species
UACGUAGGCCCCGAGCGUUGUCCGGAUUUAUUGGGCGUAAAGCGAGCGCAGGUGGUUUAUUAAGUCUGGUGUAAAAGGCAGUGGCUCAACCAUUGUAUGCAUUGGAAACCGGUAGACUUGAGUGCAGGAGAGGAGAGUGGAAUUCCAUGUGUAGCGGUGAAAUGCGUAGAUAUAUGGAGGAACACCGGUGGCGAAAGCGGCUCUCUGGCCUGUAACUGACACUGAGGCUCGAAAGCGUGGGGAGCAAACAGG